UACGUAGGGGGCAAGCGUUGUCCGGAUUUAUUGGGCGUAAAGAGCGUGUAGGCGGCCACACAGGUCAGCUGUGAAAACUCGAGGCUCAACCUCGAGACGUCGGUUGAAACCGUAUGGCUAGAGUCCGGAAGAGGAGAGUGGAAUUCCCGGUGUAGCGGUGAAAUGCGCAGAUAUCAGGAGGAACACCGAUGGCGAAGGCAGUGGGCUGGGCCGGCACUGACGCUGAGGAGCGAAAGCGUGGGGAGCGAACAGG
rnacentral:rRNA from 1 species